rnacentral:rRNA from 1 species
CCUACGGGCGGCAGCAGUGAGGAAUAUUGGUCAAUGGACGAGAGUCUGAACCAGCCAAGUAGCGUGAAGGAUGACUGCCCUAUGGGUUGUAAACUUCUUUUAUAUGGGAAUAAAAUGUUCCACGUGUGGGAUUUUGUAUGUACCAUAUGAAUAAGGAUCGGCUAACUCCGUGCCAGCAGCCGCGGUAAUACGGAGGAUCCGAGCGUUAUCCGGAUUUAUUGGGUUUAAAGGGAGCGUAGGUGGAUUGUUAAGUCAGUUGUGAAAGUUUGUGGCGCAACCGUAAAAUUGCAGUUGAAACUGGCAGUCUUGAGUACAGUAGAGGUGGGCGGAAUUCGUGGUGUAGCGGUGAAAUGCUUAGAUAUCACGAAGAACUCCGAUUGCGAAGGCAGUUCACUGGACUGCAACUGACACUGAGGCUCGAAAGUGUGGGUAUCAAACAGGAUUAGAUACCCCAGUAGUC